UCUUAGGUUUGAAAACCCUAAUUAAUUUAGUCUGCAAUUGAUGGAGUGAGAUGUACGCUGUUGUUAAGGAAGGGUCAAGAGACGAAAGAAAUGGACUAAUGAGAAAGUGACAGCUUUGUAGCAAGACUUUGUUCAAGGCUGAAUGACUGAUGACAUGAAGGGAGAGAGGGAGAGAGAAAGAGAGAGAGGAAGAGAGAGUGUGUAAAAAUGGCUAACAAGACUGUUGAUGCAGCACUGGAUAUACAAGGAAGCUGCUGAUUUCACAGACAUGAAUAUCUUACUAACCCUGUUUCUAACUCUCGCAAGUCACAACCACUGCUACUAUUUCUGUCUAUCACCAUAACCAUAGAUCUGUGUAUCUAUCAUACAAAACAACUGGGAAAGAGGCAUAACAUGAAAGAGAGAUAUUAUCUAUAAAACUCAUAAAGGUAAAAAAAAAACAAAAAGGAAGCAAGACAAGUGAAUCUUUGUUUUGAAGAAGUCAAUCUUAACUGCGAAAGAAGAAUGAUUGUGUUCUGAUCAGUCCAAAAACCCAUUAAAAUCUAUCACAAAAACCGAAAUCUAGACAUGUAAUUAAGCACCAAUAUGCAGAAAGAAAUCAUGGUUAUUCCUCAGUAAAGGCAAACAAAUUAGAGAUUUGCAACAACAUAUAAAGCCUUCAGUGUAGAGGAUCUUAGGGAUGAGAGAUGGUGGGGGGGAGGGGGAAAGAAAUUAAGGAAAUUAACCUGUUGUUAGCAUAUUCAUAGAGGCGGCCACGGCUGGAGAAGACGAUGAGAGCAACUUCUGCAUCACAUAAGACCGAUAAUUCAUAGGCCUUUUUGAGCAAGCCGUUGCGGCGCUUACAGAAGGUGACUUGUCGAUUAGUGGUGUUCUCGAUCCGCUUAAUUUCGAUCUUCCCUCUUCCCAUUUUUCUUUGGGAAGACCCCUCCGAGGCUUGAUUCGGAAACUCCGUGGUUGAAAGCUGAAAUGAGCUAAACCAAAUUGAUGCUUCUAUAAGCAAAUUUUGUUACAUUUAAGCCUGAAUUGGAACUUGAAACAAAGCAAGAGAAUCCAAUACAUCCAAAAGAAGCAAAACAAGAAUUAUAGUGUAUCUUUCAGUAUUUUGCUCGCUAACCUGGUAAGGAAACUUAGGAGAAGUAGAUAAACAAGGGUGGAAACAACAAUUUUUUCUUUUUUUUUUUCUCCUCUGGUUGAAUUCACACGAUUCUUUGGUAUAGUUCUGCACAGGAGAGUUGCAGAAAAUGGAAAUGGUUUGUUCUAUCAGAUGGGUAUUUAUGGACACAAAAUAGACCAUCCAACAAUCAUCCAACUCACGCUAUUAUUCUCCCUAGAGAUCUACCACCACUAGUGUGUCCCUCUUCCUAUGCAAUUUGUUUUGAAGAAGAAGAAGAAGAAGAAGAAGAAGAUGGAGAGGGAGAGGGAGAGAUCGAGAAAGAUAGAGAUAAAAAAGGAAUUUGAUGUUCUCCUUCAGAUUCCAUCAACCGUCCAUUUUUUCUCAUGUAUGGCAGUAUGGGAAAAAGGAUGGGAGAGAUAAUAAAAAGAACUUUUGGAAAGUCACUAUUAAUGGGCUUGAAUAAGACCUUGGCUAAGUUGCACUCAAGCCUUUAUUAUCAAUGGGGAGGAGAAAAACCAAAACGAGAGGACCUCUCAUGUUUUUAACUUUUUGGAUUUGGAGUUGGCUAGCUUUCAUACAUUCAAGAUUUGUUUCUUACUUCAUCUGUGGUUGAAAACUUUUCACCUUUCUUUCUUUCUUCCUCUCUCUCUCCUCUCUCGCCCCCUCUCUCUCUCACACAACACAUAAAUUAUUAGUCUUUAUUUUUAUUGUAUGUAUUAAGGUUGUGACGUAAGUGAAGGUGACCCCCAUGUGAUGUCCUGCUCGCCAGUUCAUAUUCUUCAGUUCAUUUAUGGUAACAAUGCAGAAGUCCCCUUGAUAUAUUUUUUUUAUUAGCUGAUCUAACUUGUUACCAUCUUCCACGAGGGCCAUAGGUGGGUAUCCUCCAUGCCCACUAUAUAAUCUUCAUCUUUGUUUGUUCAACAAGGCAUAUGCAAUUUGUUAUCAUGUAAAAAAGUCUCUAAUAGUUUGUGAAUUGUGAUGCCACACAUUCCCGAUCCAUUGAAAUUUCAACCAUAGACAACAGUGUUCUCGUCCAUCUUCCUGGUUGCUUAUUCUAGCAUGCACGACAUGUCACAUAUCCCAUACCCACCUUGCCCUUCAUUCAGGACUUGUCAUUUCGUUUGCGAGAAUAUCUAUUAUGUUCCCUUGGGCAAUCUAAUUACCACAUCAUCCCCUUUAGCUCCCAAGCUAUUUCUCUCAAUACUACUAAUUCUUAUCUUCUCACCCUGUGGAGGGAAGACAUAAUGGGAAUGCCCUUCUCCAUGAAAAUGGGUUUUUUACAAUGGCAUCAAGUAAUGAGGAAGUGGUUCUCAACGGGGAUUUGUUAUAAUUAUAUUCUUUAGGGUUUGAAUUACACGAAGGCUUUUAAGGGCAUGUUUGGGAAAAUUUUCAAAAAUCAUUUUCAAGAAAUAGUUUUUGAGAAUAAUUCUUAAAAACAAUUCUAACUUACUUUCAAGAAAUUUUUUUUACUAGCAUAGAGCUUAAAUAUAAAAACAGUUUUCUUGGUUUAUUCUCUACAAAGAUACUGCUUAAAUACAAACAAGGUAAAAGUUUUCAAGGACUCUUUGUAUUUUCACUUAUUGCUUGAAACACCGUAAUAAAAAACAACCAAAAGCACCUCGAAAUUUGUCUGAAAGUACAUAAACUCACUUAUUAGCCUAUUUACAUAAAAUUAGUAGCUUUCAAAGAAUUUAUUAAAGCACUUGUUAACCAUACGCCUACAUUUAUUAUAAGUGGUGCACCUAGUGGCUUGCUUUGAAGAUGAUUGCUUAAGGUUCAUAUUUGCUUAAGUAACCUAAACCUCUCUUAUUUUUAUGGGCACUUCCUUUCUUAAUCAUCUCAUUCAAAAUCUUAAAGUUAGGAUAAAAGAUUUCAUUUUGAUUUGAUAGAUUCUUUUUCUAUUCAUCUAAAUCUGAAGUUUAAGAAUUUAUUCUUUUCAAACAUAAUAUGUUGAUGUUCAUAUUCAAGAAACUUAAUUCUUUCAAUUAAUCUUUUGUUUCAAUCGUAAGCUCUUUGAUCUUACCAUUCAUGUCAAUUUCUAAGAUUCAUAAGAAUUUAAUUUUUCAUUCAAAUCAUUUUUCUCAUAUUUAAAGCUUUUAAUAAGAGUGUUCCUUUUAUUCAAGAUUUUCUUUAAAUUCACAUUCUCAGCCUUUAAUUUAUAACUCUCUUGAUACAUGGCAUUAUAUGCCUCUUGAAGAGUGUCAAACUUUCCUUCUUCAUCACUUGAUUCAAUGAGAUUUUCAAUUUUAGAGGAUGAAAUAAGAGUGACAAUGAAGGCAACAAGAUGAUUGUUAUCAUCAUUUUUAGUUUAGCCUUUGAUGGAAUUAUGGUCAUCAGACUCGAAAUCACUCCAAGUCACUUGCAUAAAUUUCUCAUUCUUUUUUGGUGCAAGGCAAUUUGAAACAAAUUAAAUGUUUUUUCCCAUAGUUGAAACACUCAACUUGAGAUGAUUUUGACACACCUUUUUCUUUGUUUUUCUUGGAAUAAUAUUUAUUCUCUUUAUUUGAGUCAUCUUUUAUGUUUGCCUCCUUUUACAUUUUUUUUAUCAAAUGUAAAAAUUUCAAAUUGAUUGAGAACUUUUAAUAUCACUAAGAAAUUUUGUAGUCUUAAUAUAAUAAAACUAUCUAAAGGGGGAUGAAUAGGUAGUCUCUCAAUUAGCCUCAAAAUGUAAACUUUAUUACAAUUUUUUUUUCCUUUUACAUUCAUCAUUUGAUUAAGAGCAAAUAAUCUCAUAUAUAUAUAUAUAUAUAUAAAUAAAAUUGAUCGCACAAAUAAACAUAGGAUAUAACAUAAAAAAACUACCUAACAACCUACCAAGAGGAAAAAGCCAUUAGUGGU
rnacentral:lncRNA from 1 species